GACGAACGCUGGCGGCGUGCUUAACACAUGCAAGUCGAACGGAAAGGCCCUGCUUUUGUGGGGUGCUCGAGUGGCGAACGGGUGAGUAACACGUGAGUAACCUGCCCUUGACUUUGGGAUAACUUCAGGAAACUGGGGCUAAUACCGGAUAGGAGCUCCUGCUGCAUGGUGGGGGUUGGAAAGUUUCGGCGGUUGGGGAUGGACUCGCGGCUUAUCAGCUUGUUGGUGGGGUAGUGGCUUACCAAGGCUUUGACGGGUAGCCGGCCUGAGAGGGUGACCGGCCACAUUGGGACUGAGAUACGGCCCAGACUCCUACGGGAGGCAGCAGUGGGGAAUACUGCACCAUGGGCGGAAGCCUGAUGCAGCAACGCCGCGUGCGGGAUGACGGCCUUCGGGUUGUAAACCGCUUUCGCCUGUGACGAAGCGUGAGUGACGGUAAUGGGUAAAGAAGCACCGGCUAACUACGUG
rnacentral:rRNA from 1 species